GGUGGCUCAGUGGUAGAGUGCUUGCCUUACAUGCAUGAAGCCUGGGUUCAAUUCCUCAGCACCA
rnacentral:tRNA from 1 species